rnacentral:rRNA from 1 species
UACGAAGGGUGCGAGCGUUAUUCGGAAUCACUGGGCGUAAAGGGUGCGUAGAUGGUAUGUUAAGUUCGUUGUUAAAGGCUCCGGCCUAACUGGAGUAUUGCAAUGAAAACUGGCGUACUAGAGGGUGAGAGAGAGAAGUGGAAUUCCCGGAGUAGCGGUAAAAUGCGUGGAUCUCGGGAGGAACACCAAUGGCGAAGGCAGCUUCUUGGCUCAUUCCUGACAUUGAGGCACGAAAGCGUGGGGAGCAAACAGG